CUCUGGAUUACUGCUCUUAGGAAAGGCUACUCGUGAUCGCUACCAGUGUUGUCGUGCCAGUGUUGCUACAGCAGAGUCCACUACUAGGGGGAAAAAUACAUCUCUGGUGGUGAAACCCAUGCUCUACCUGGGUGGCCACCACAUCUGGUCCUUCCUUCCCCGGAAAGAUGCUGAACCUGGAUAUAGUAGCAGAGUAGCGGAUGGAGAA